rnacentral:rRNA from 1 species
UACGUAGGGAGCAAGCGUUGUCCGGAAUCAUUGGGCGUAAAGCGCGCGUAGGUGGCCUCAUAAGUCCGCUGUGAAAGUCAAAGGCUCAACCUUUGAAAGCCGGUGGAUACUGUGAGGCUAGAGUACGGAAGAGGCAAGUGGAAUUCCUGGUGUAGCGGUGGAAUGCGCAGAUAUCAGGAGGAACACCCAUAGCGAAGGCAGCUUGCUGGGACGUUACUGACGCUAAGGCGCGAAAGCGUGGGGAGCGAACAGG